GGUAAGCAAACUUUUACCAAAGAAAUAAACAUACAUUUUUAAUUAAGAAUGCAAUAAUUAAACACAAGCAAAUCCUAAACAUACAUAAUUAAUUCUAGACUUGACCAUUCGAAUAUGAGUAUUGAAGUCAGACUAUGGCAUGUUUUGCACUCAUAAUGGUGGAACAACUUACCCACCCUAAGUUACCACACAAGGCUAGUUCAUCUACCACUUAUAGUCAAAGAAUCAAACCAUAGACUAAGACCUUCUACUACUCCUUACCACAUAACCCUUUUUCUACUUGAGAUGGAAUGCUUAUUAAAGUGUUGAGAUAACUUCCGAGACCGAGUCACCAUAAAAU
rnacentral:lncRNA from 1 species